UGUGUACUUCUUUAUCCGGGUUCCAGGAGGAAGUGACGUGUAUAGCGCGCGACCGGUGCUUUACUCGCUUCCCGGAAGCUAGACGUACUGCGGGACUGGUUUGUUGUGCCAAGAAGAGAGAUCUCCAAAAAAACCACCCAGGAGCUGUCUCCGAUAUGGAGGCCGGUCCCAAGAUGGAGUAGGUUUGGCCUCUCCAAUUCAGUCUUGAAUUCAGAAGUCCUGACGCUUUUUGAACGUUCUAGAGGGACUAGAGGCAUGGCUUGAAGUUCCGCCUAAGAUCUGAAAGACAAGAAAAAGUUUUGAGAGGAACACAGGAUGUAAGCAGAAUGUGCUAGUAAUUUGUAGUAUGUCUGAAAGAAACACUAAGAGGAGCUAGAUGGUCUUGAAGAGAUGGAUGUUACAGUGUCCAGAUGUCAUGUCUUUUGUUUGUUUUGAUUUUCUGGCUGUUCUGGAACUAGUUCACUAGACCCUGCUGGCCUCGAACUCAAAGAGAUCCGCCUGUUUCUGCCUUCCCAGUGUUUCAAGGCAUGGGCCACCCCUGCCUGGCUCCAGGGUGUCAUGUUUUUAAAAAAAUGAAAAACUAAUGGCUAUAAGCCAGAAUUGUAAAGGGAAAUCCUUCCAUCUUAUUAGUUAAAAUAGUUAAACUUCUUUGGUAUAAAUUUAAGAUUCAUAUUCAGCUGUAAGAAACAAAGGAGCCUGUUGGUUCUUUAUCCUGGUUUUCCCUCCUGCAACAUCUCAUAAAGCUGCAGUGCAUUUUCCCUCUUAGAACCACACAAUUUUUAAUCCACCUUCUGAAAUCUCAGCUAUCACUAAUCCACAUACCAAAAGAGUUGUGAACGUGCAUGCAUGCCUAUGAGUGUGUGUGUGUGUCCACUAAUCACAAGGAGGCUGAGGUGUGGUGUGUUAUUGGAACUGGAGAUUUAUCUAUCCAGGUUUUGUUAGUAUUAUUCCUGACAGGAUCCCAUAA